rnacentral:rRNA from 1 species
CAGAGGGGCAAGCGUUGUUCGGAAUUACUGGGCGUAAAGGGCGCGUAGGCGGCCUUCUAAGUCGGACGUGAAAUCCCCGGGCUCAACCCGGGAACUGCGUCCGAGACUGGAAGGCUCGAAUCCGGGAGAGGGAUGUGGAAUUCCAGGUGUAGCGGUGAAAUGCGUAGAUAUCUGGAGGAACACCGGUGGCGAAGGCGGCAUCCUGGACCGGUAUUGACGCUGAGGCGCGAAAGCCAGGGGAGCAAACGGGAUUAGAUACCCCGGUAGUCCUGGCCCUAAACGAUGAAUGCUUGGUGUGGCGGGUAUCGAUCCCUGCCGUGCCGAAGCUAACGCAUUAAGCAUUCCGCCUGGGGAGUACGGUCGCAAGGCUG